rnacentral:sRNA from 1 species
ACACACACACACACACACACACACACACACACACACACACACAAUUAGCACAGAUUUUGAAGGGAACAGACAUUAAACUACAGCCAUGAGUUUCUUCCCUUUAUUUAAAAGUCUCUCUAUGGUAUAGAUGUUUGGGCUCGUAGUUCCACUAGCUAACUCAUGUUUCCUAUGGCAUCACCUCAGCUUGCCUGUCCAUCUCUGAACCCAUCACCUUUCUCUCUAAACCAGUUCCCCAUGCUUAAGACUGGGGACUGCUACCCUUCAUCAGGAGGCUCCUCACCUUGGCUGAGAAGGUUCCUUAGAUCUGAAUUCUGAACCUCCAACUCACCGCCAGUUUCAUGGAUAGUUUCCACUUUGUCUAGGCCAACCCUUCUCUUUAACCUGGUCUGCAGCAGACUGGGCUGAUCGCGCCCCCUGUUUCCUUUUCUGUGUCGGGUACUGCUCUCCCUGACCUCCAUGCUCAGGUCAUCUAAUAAGACAAUUUUAACUUCUGAGUCUUCGUAGACAUUGCUCCUGUGGAUGGGAUCUUUCAUGACGCUGUCCUAUUGAUCACUAAGGCCCUCUCCUUUGGCAUAGUUAGUUCUUUCUCUGGGGUGGAUUUCCUCACUCCAGUGUUCCCUCUAGGGCGGCUGAAGCACCUUGGGGUUCCAUGUUCUCACUAUGUCCUUGCCGGGGAUCUGAAUCAUGGAGGCAAUUCAGUUCAUUCACCAAGGAAGCCUUCUGCAUGGAACAGAGCAGCAGCUUGGUGAAUAUGGAUUUCAGGAAUAAAAACUAAAUGAUGAACGCAAACGGGAAAUUCGAUUUUCAUGGAAUUCAAAUAUAAAUCAUCUUCUAGACAAAGCCUCCUCUCGAAUCAGAAUAAUUACCCCCAUAUGCCACUUAUGUAAAUGUGAACUGUUCUGUUGGUUUGCUUGUUUGUUUGGUCUGUAUCCUCCAGACACCAGGGGUACAGUUCUUUUAAAGGUGAGCUUUAUUCAGAGAAACCAGGUUUGGCGUAGUCAGACGGUGAGUGAUGGUAGUUGCCUGGCAAGAAGGAUAAUAGCAGUAUAAUAUUUUGUCUGCCGUUUGAUCUGAGGCCCUAGGUACAAUCUGCAAAAAUCUGUUCGUUCCCCCCUCCAACCCCCCACCAACCCCCAAGCUGAUGGGAGCUUUGAAGGGUAUUUAUUUUUGGAACUGUGGUUGCCAUGGUAACAACGCUUCUUAUUGUCUUUUGCUUCCGGGUCAGGACACCAGUUGCUUUUCUUGAAGAGGAGGAGGAUCUUGGAAUAAAUGCUUUCUUCCAUCAAUGCCCACCUCCCAGGAAAGAAGAUGUUCUUGGCACCCAGGAGAAGACAAGACGGGAAAUUUAGGAACAACAGAAGUUGUAACAGAGAGUCAAGGUAAGGAUUAACUACGUUCUCUAAAAACGCACGCAGACCACGUGUUUUUGAGUUUGGGGGUGGAUUUGGGGUUUUACGUGUCUCUGGAAAUGUCUUUGCUACCGUCCAUAAUAUGGCGUUUGCGAGAUUUUGCACAUGUAACCCUCAGGUGUUGAGAAAUGCUCCCAUUUGCCCGAUCUGAAUGGGUUUUAUGAGCUGCCCUUAAUCUUAUAGUCUAGUUAGUUAUUUUCAUUAAGUUCAGCUGUCUAUAGUAUAUAUGUGUAUAUAGAAAAAGAUGUUUAAGUCCAUUUUCCUCCCAAUUGGAUCGGGAAUGUAGCUCGGUUGACAAAGUGCUUGCCUUGCACGUACAAAGCUCUGGGUUCAAUCCUUAGCACUGUAUAAACUCAGGAGUUGGAGACAGAAAGAUAAGAAGUUCAGAGUCAUCCUUAGCUAUAGAGUUCCAGUCCGACCUCAGGUAUAUGACAGUGUAUCUCAAGAUGACAGGAAAAUCCUUUGUUUUUUUCCUCCCAAUGGGUGUAGAGUGAGAGGGAAAAUGUUUGAUGAAAUUAUGUGUUUCCAUCUUGACUAGUCAGCGACUCAUUUAUGAUGAACUAAAAUCAGCAGAGAUUUCACUGGAGUCUGCUUUUGAUUUCCCGUCCAAAUUACAGAUACACUGGGACCCCCUUCUGCCCAUAUGCAUUCACGUUAAGUCAAUCAUUCCUUCUGUGUUUGCUAUGCAAACUGCUGUGCUUGUCACUCAACACAAGGUGGUUGCCAAAGACGCCAGCCCCAGGGUGAUCUGCAUGGAUACGAGUCCAGGCUCAGCCCCUUAUUACUGACUUGGGGGGGGGGUGGCGAUCUUAGGUUGCUUUCUUUUCCUUGUCACUGAGGUGAUGAUGAGCUGUCUCCCAUCUCCGCCUUUCAGCUGUAGUUCUUGAGAUUCCCGAGUUCACAUUGGAAACCCUCAGUCAUAGCACAGGACGUGGUCGCUUUGUUGGCCCUGAGCCAGGUUGUGGACAUUCAAGGCUCAGCAUGAAAAGCUCCAGAGACUUUCUCUACUGCCUGGUCUUUUACUUUUUUAUCCUUGGGGCUCAGCUUGGGAGGAGUUCUGAGAAUCUCAGACUUGAGUUCUAGUCUUUGUAGUGUUGUCAGAUAUCUGUGUGGCUUUGUACCUGUCCCUUAAACUUUUCUGGUCAUUGGUUUUGUGGUGGUUUGGAUGAAAAAGGGCCCCUUAGACUUAAGGAAUGGCACUAUUAGGGAGUGUAGCCUUGUUGGAGUAGGUGUGGCCUUUUUGGAGGAAGUGUGACACUGAGGGUGGGUUUUGAGGUUUCACAUACUUGAGCUAGGCCACGGCUCACUGUCUCUUCCUGCGGCCUGCCAGUCCCUGGUGUAGAAUUCUGAGGUACCUCUCCAGCAUCAUGCCUGCCUACAUACUGUUGUGCUUCUCGCCAUGAUGAUAAUGGACUAAACUCCCGGAUUGUAAGACGGCCCUAAUUAAACUGGUUUUUGUUAUAAGAGUUGCCAUGUCUCUUCAGAGCAAUAAAACCCUAAGUAAGACAGGUUUCCUGUUCUCAAAUGGAAAGAGUUAGAAGGGCCUGGCUUGGUGGUUAAGAGCACUUGCUGUUCUUCCAGAGGAACUGAGUUUGACUUCCAGUCUCCUCAGGGCAGCCCACACAGUCUAUAACUCCAGCUUCAGGCCCUCUCCUGACCUCCACAGGUACAUGUGCAUGUCCAUGCUGACAUACACAGCUACACAUAAUUAAAAACACUGAAACUAAAUUUCAAAAUAAACAGAGAGACAAGUGCAGUCAUCCGUUAUGCUCCUUCCGGCUGAUGCGUGUGGCUCUCGGCUGUAUUGACAGAAGUACAGACCGCUGUAAAAUGACAAGCUGGGAAGAGACAGACGGAGGAAACAGGAACGAGAGAGAGAGAACUCAGAAGCGAGCCAGGAAGCCGCAGGUCUGUCUGUGGGCCUGUGUGUGGCCUUGCUGGUCUGUGAACCACAUUUGUUCUCCAGCUGCUCUCUUCUCUUCACUCUCUGGCCACUGCCCAUCUACCUCCUUGGUUCCUUCACACAUCUUGCCUUUCCUGUGUCUGCCUAUCUGCGUGUCUUCCAUUUGCGUUUGGAAAUCUUCCUUAAAGAUUUCUCCACUUAGGCUCACGACUCUUUUAA